AACGAACGCUGGCGGCAUGCCUAACACAUGCAAGUCGAACGAGACCUUCGGGUCUAGUGGCGCACGGGUGCGUAACGCGUGGGAACCUGCCCUUAGGUUCGGAAUAACUCCCCGAAAGGGGUGCUAAUACCGGAUAAUGUCUUCGGACCAAAGAUUUAUCGCCUUUGGGUGGGCCCGCGUUGGAUUAGCUAGUUGGUAGGGUAAAAGCCUACCAAGGCGACGAUCCAUAGCUGGUCUGAGAGGAUGAUCAGCCACACUGGGACUGAGACACGGCCCAGACUCCUACGGGAGGCAGCAGUGGGGAAUAUUGGACAAUGGGCGAAAGCCUGAUCGAGCAAGGCCGGGUGAGUGAUGAAGGCCUUAGGGUUGUAAAGCUCUUUUACCCGGGAUGAUAAUGACAGUACCGGGAGAAUAAGCUCCGGCUAACUCCGUG
rnacentral:rRNA from 1 species